UACGAAGGGGGCGAGCGUUGUUCGGAAUUACUGGGCGUAAAGGGCGCGUAGGCGGCGAACCAAGUCAGCUGUGAAAGUCCUGGGCUUAACCUGGGGACUGCAUUUGAUACUGGUUUGCUUGAAUUCGGGAGAGGAUAGCGGAAUUCCCAGUGUAGAGGUGAAAUUCGUAGAUAUUGGGAAGAACACCGGUGGCGAAGGCGGCUAUCUGGACCGACAUUGACGCUGAGGCGCGAAAGCGUGGGGAGCAAACAGG
rnacentral:rRNA from 1 species